GAGACUGACAAGUUCCCGGGA
rnacentral:miRNA from 2 species